rnacentral:piRNA from 1 species
UCAUCAAGACCUGUCUGGGCAUAAGCUAA